rnacentral:tRNA from 2 species
AAACUUAGGAUAACCAAACCAAGAGCCUUCAAAGCCCCAAAUAGAAGUUAAACCCUUCUAGUUUC